AUUGAGUAUGUUUAUUCUACUGAUAAAUACAAAGUUUAUUUAUCGAAUAACUUUUGAAUGCGACAUUGUAUUGAAUUUCUGUAAAAUGUACCUGAAAGCUCUUUAAAUAAGCUUUAAUUUUCAUAUUUUGUU